rnacentral:rRNA from 1 species
UCGAACGAGAGAUGAGGAGCUUGCUCUUCAAAUCGAGUGGCGAACGGGUGAGUAACGCGUGAGGAACCUGCCUCAAAGAGGGGAACAACAGUUAGAAAUGACUGCUAAUACCGCAUAAAAUCGCAAGAUUAAAGCAGCAAUGCGCUUGGGGAUGGGCUCGCGUCCUAUUAGUUAGUUGGUGAGGUAACGGCUCACCAAGGCGAUGACGGGUAGCCGGUCUGAGAGGAUGUCCGGCCACACUGGAACUGAGACACGGUCCAGACACC